rnacentral:ncRNA from 2 species
GAGCCACCCCCACAUGUAUGCUCGUGCUCGCUGUCGCCGCAGGGGAAUCCGGUGCGAAUCCGGAACUGUCCCGCAACGGUGUACGAGUGCGCCCGAUGCCCCCUACGGCCAUCCCGCGCCCUGAAGUCCGAGGACCUGCCGACAGUACGUCCGUGCC